UGUUAUGAUCCGCCUUUUUGCCGCCCUGGUCUAUCGUUCCCGGCUAGCUCUCGGGGAAGUCAGGGGUGUUUUCGACCCGAUAGCCAGGGGACGGAUUUAACAAAAAAAACCUACUUUCUCGCGUGUAACGGACAGAUCUAAUUUUUCUUACACGCGUCUACGUUGACCAUUGCGAGUCCCUCCCAUCCAUGAGCGUUCAAAAUGUUGCACGCUCCCGAUUAUUAAACAUCUGGUUCCACUCUUCCGACCUCUCUCGUCCCACCCAAUCUAGUAAGCUCUACUCCAUUUUCAUUUUCUUUUCAGGUUUUCAAACAUUCUUCAACAUUUUUUUAUUUUUAAUUUUAUAACUACUUAAUUCCUAAAACAUUUGUAUCCCUUGACUGACAUUCACC
rnacentral:lncRNA from 1 species